GACGAACGCUGGCGGCGUGCUUAACACAUGCAAGUCGAACGAAGAGCGAUGGAAGCUUGCUUCUCUCAAUCUUAGUGGCGAACGGGUGAGUAACGCGUAAUCAACCUGCCCUUCAGAGGGGGACAACAGUUGGAAACGACUGCUAAUACCGCAUACGAUCUAAUCUCGGCAUCGAGGAUAGAUGAAAGGUGGCCUCUACAUGUAAGCUAUCACUGAAGGAGGGGAUUGCGUCUGAUUAGCUAGUUGGAGGGGUAACGGCCCACCAAGGCGAUGAUCAGUAGCCGGUCUAAGAGGAUGAACGGCCACAUUGGGACUGAGACACGGCCCAGACUCCUACGGGAGGCAGCAGUGGGGAAUCUUCCGCAAUGGACGAAAGUCUGACGGAGCAACGCCGCGUGAGUGAUGACGGCCUUCGGGUUGUAAAGCUCUGUUAAUCGGGACGAAAGGCCUUCUUGCGAAUAGUGAGAAGGAUUGACGGUUCCGGAAUAGAAAGCCACGGCUAACUACGUG
rnacentral:rRNA from 1 species